rnacentral:rRNA from 1 species
GAUGAACGCUAGCGGGAGGCCUAACACAUGCAAGCCGAGCGGUAUUUGUUCUUCUGAACAGAGUGAGCGGCGCACGGGUGCGGAAGACGUGUGCAACCUGCCUUUAUCUGGGUGUUAGCCUUUCUAAAGGAAGAUUAAUACCCCAUAAUAUAUUGAGUGGCAUCAUUUGAUAUUGAAAACUCCUGUGGACAGAGAUGGGGACGCGCAGGAUUAGAUAGUUGGUGAGGUAACGGCUCACCAAGUCAAUGAUCUUUAGGGGGCCUGCGGGGGUGAGCCCCCACACUGGUACCGAGACACGGACGAGAGUCAUACGGGAGGCAGCAGUGAGGAAUAUUGGACGAGGGAUUAGCGCCCGAUCCAGCCAUGCCGCGUGAAGGACGACGGCGCUAUGGAUUGUAAACUUCUUGUGUAUAGGGAUAAACCUACUCUAGUGAGCGUAGCUGAAGGUACUAUACGAAUAAGCACCGGCUAACUCCGUG